AACGUAGGAGACAAACGUUAUCCGGAGUUACUGGGCGUAAAGGGCGUGUAGGUGGUUGUGUAAGUCUGGCGUGAAAUUUUUCGGCUUAACCGGGAAAGGUCGUCGGAUACUGCAGAACUAGAGGACGGUAGAGGCGUGUGGAAUUCCGGGUGUAGUGGUGAAAUGCGUAGAGAUCCGGAGGAACACCGGUGGCGAAGGCGGCAUCCUGGACCACGACUGACGCUGAGGAGCGAAAGCCAGGGGAGCAAACGGG
rnacentral:rRNA from 1 species